GUGGCUUCAGACCGCAGCAUCGGCCGAGAGGACGCCGGGAUACUGGCCAGCUCCAAGUCGAAAGGAAGCGACGCAUGAGUUUUGUUGGGUGCGAAUUUUAAACGGAAGAACGCAGAAGAAUUCUCUUUAUGUUACCUUUAUUUAGCAACAAAUCAACUUGACUCAACUGAUACUUACUGAGUGCCUUUAAAGGAUGUGCUGAAACAGGUGGUGACUUUUCAAAUAAAAAUUCAGAGCCACAGGGAGAAAGUUGCAAUGUGGAACCAUCAACAUAUUGUACUUGUACUGAAUCGUCUUCAUAAAGUACCAUUCGCAGUUCGGCUGCCAUUACUACGGCAGGAUAAGUUUACUCCAACGGAGGAACAUAACCAAGAAGAGACAACCACAAGUGAUAACUGUCUUUAUAAUUUUAAUAGCUUCACUUCUACUGAAAUUUAAUUUUUGUAAAUUAUAUGCUUAUUAUUUAGAAGCUUAUAACUUCUAGAAGUUUACUCCAAUGCAGGAACAUAACCAAGAAGAAAUCUAAUUUCUUUUUGUUUUUUUUUUUUUUUUGAGAUGGAGUCUUGCUCUGUCGUCCAGGCUAGAGUGCAGUGGUGUGAUCUCAGCUCACUGUAACCUCCGCCUCUCAGGUUCAAGUGAUUCUCCUGCCUCAGCCUCCUGAGUAGCUGGGAUUACAGGUGUGUGCCACCAUGUCUGGCUAAUUUUUGUAAUUUAGUAGAGACGGGGUUUUACCAUAUUGGUCAGGCUGGUCUGGAACUCCUGACCUUGAGAUCUGCCUGCCUCAGCCUCCCAAAGUGCUGGCAUUACAGACAUGAGCCACUGCGCCCGGCCUAAAGAAAUUUAAUUUCUAUAAAUUAUAUGCUCAUUAUCUCAUUUUAAAUUUCAAAUAAUAAGCAAAUUCCACCUUUAUGGUAAGAAUGCAGCAAAUUGUUUGUAAUACAAAUUCCAAAGACAGGCAGAAAGUAACUAUUAGGCCUAUGGGAAAAGGACCCUGAAGAAGAAAUCCAAAUACCUGGAAUCCUGUCUCUACCCUAGCAUUAAAGAAAUAGCUCUUUAUUACUACUGAGCA